AUGCUGCCGCUGUCGUCGAUGCUGUCGCAAGUGCAAGCUGCGAGCCCGAGCUGGCCCUGGAGGCGAAAGGCAGACUGGUGGGCCAAGGAAGGAACCUGAGCCCCAGGUGCAUCACGGGAGACCAGGCCCCCUGGCCCAUCCCCGCCUCUCUAAGGACAUCUUGGUGUGGACAGGACUGGACAGAAUGAGUCGGGGCCUGUUUGACUUGAGAAAACAGAUGUUUCCCAACCCAGCUUCUGUCAGCAAAAGCGUCCAAAGCAGCAGAAUCGAAUUACCCAAUGACCUGCCAAGUACAGUGCAGGGGGAAAUUAACUGGCAUAAUUCAUUAGCUGGAUGGAUGGUACCAGUGUCGCACCUCUCCCACGAGACCGAGAAUCCUCUUCCCCAUCUUCAGAGGAGGCAUUUACGGCCAGAUACCCGGUGGAGGGUUCUGGGGGUUCUCUGGCCAUCUCGGGCUAGGUGGAGGAUGCUGCCCCUCCGCGGGUCCACCCCAUGCUUCACGGACAGAGUCAAGUGAG